rnacentral:piRNA from 1 species
UGAUUGGUGAGUUGACUGUGGUAGGU